UACCUUGUAAAGUACUUGAUGUCUGUGACCC
rnacentral:piRNA from 1 species